rnacentral:lncRNA from 1 species
GUUGAGAAGGUGUAAACCAUAAUCCACCAAAAUGGAUGAUUGAUAUUGAGGAUGACUUGAGCCAUCCCGUGACCUUUGUGUGGUGUGACUUGCUUGAUCCUUCAGUGUGAUUUAGACAUAAAGAAGCAAUGAGAAAAUUUUCAAGGAACUUAAGAGGUCUAUUUGCAAAUUUUUAGACAUGAAGAAGCAAAGAAGGAAUACGAAGAAGUACAGUUUCAGAAAACCCGACUUGAAAGAGUUAAGGAGUUU